AACGCUGGCGGCAGGCCUAACACAUACAAGUCGAGCGGAUGAAGGGAGCUUGCUCCUGGAUUCAGCGGCGGACGGGUGAGUAAUGCCUAGGAAUCUGCCUGGUAGUGGGGGAUAACGUCCGGAAACGGGCGCUAAUACCGCAUACGUCCUGAGGGAGAAAGUGGGGGAUCUUCGGACCUCACGCUAUCAGAUGAGCCUAGGUCGGAUUAGCUAGUUGGUGGGGUAAAGGCCUACCAAGGCGACGAUCCGUAACUGGUCUGAGAGGAUGAUCAGUCACACUGGAACUGAGACACGGUCCAGACUCCUACGGGAGGCAGCAGUGGGGAAUAUUGGACAAUGGGCGAAAGCCUGAUCCAGCCAUGCCGCGUGUGUGAAGAAGGUCUUCGGAUUGUAAAGCACUUUAAGUUGGGAGGAAGGGCAGUAAGUUAAUACCUUGCUGUUUUGACGUUACCAACAGAAUAAGCACCGGCUAACUUCGUGCCAGCAGCCGCGGUAAUACGAAGGGUGCAAGCGUUAAUCGGAAUUACUGGGCGUAAAGCGCGCGUAGGUGGUUCAGCAAGUUGGAUGUGAAAUCCCCGGGCUCAACCUGGGAACUGCAUCCAAAACUACUGAGCUAGAGUACGGUAGAGGGUGGUGGAAUUUCCUGUGUAGCGGUGAAAUGCGUAGAUAUAGGAAGGAACACCAGUGGCGAAGGCGACCACCUGGACUGAUACUGACACUGAGGUGCGAAAGCGUGGGGAGCAAACAGGAUUAGAUACCCUGGUAGUCCACGCCGUAAACGAUGUCGACUAGCCGUUGGGAUCCUUGAGAUCUUAGUGGCGCAGCUAACGCGAUAAGUCGACCGCCUGGGGAGUACGGCCGCAAGGUUAAACUCAAAUGAAUUGACGGGGGCCCGCCCAAGCGGUGGAGCAUGUGGGUUUAAUUCGAAGCAACGCGAAGAACCUUACCUGGCCUUGA
rnacentral:rRNA from 1 species